AUCCUGAUUCCACAUAGACUCCUGUCUUGCUAUCUAUGACCAAAAGUGCAUUUGUGACAAAGGGAAUAAUUUGCUAUGGCUGAAGAGAAAAAGUGAGUGAGAAAAGUUUAAAGGCACUGCCAUCUCCAUUAGACGUUACCACUGCUGCUCUUAUGGAACACUCCAUCUGCAACAGCUGUGACUCUUCCAUUGCUCAAGGUCCGUUCCAUCACCUGUUAUCAGCACGGAUGCUAUAAGAGCAGCCACACAUAGUCGUAACCAGGAUGUGUAUUUGAGAAACAGCAAAGUGUGAUCUCCUUCCCCCUGCAAACUCACCAUCAUCCUCAACCCAACCUGCCCCAUGGAAACCAGUCUGGCAAUGAUCAUGAGGAAGAGAUGGAAUCUCUUCUAGACUCCAUAUAUCUUGGAGGCCAGAAUAGGUAGAUCUUUGAGUUUCUAUAAAAAUAUG